rnacentral:rRNA from 1 species
GACGAACGCUGGCGGCGUGCCUAAUACAUGCAAGUCGAGCGGACAGAUGGGAGCUUGCUCCCUGAAGUCAGCGGCGGACGGGUGAGUAACACGUGGGCAACCUGCCUGUAAGACUGGGAUAACUUCGGGAAACCGGAGCUAAUACCGGAUACGUUCUUUUCUUGCAUGAGAGAAGAUGGAAAGAUGGUUUCGGCUAUCACUUACAGAUGGGCCCGCGGCGCAUUAGCUAGUUGGUGAGGUAAUGGCUCACCAAGGCGAUGAUGCGUAGCCGACCUGGGUGGGUGAUCGGCCACGCUGGGACUGAGACACGGCCCAGACUCCUACGGGAGGCAGCAGUAGGGAAUCUUCCGCAAUGGACGAAAGUCUGACGGAGCAACGCCGCGUGAACGAUGAAGGCCUUCGGGUCGUAAAGUUCUGUUGUUAGGGAAGAACAAGUACCAGAGUAACUGCUGGUACCUUGACGGUACCUAACCAGAAAGCCACGGCUAACUACGUGCCAGCCGCCGCCGUAAAAC